rnacentral:rRNA from 11 species
GCUUGAUUUAGCCAUUGUGACACAUGCAUUAAUUGCAUCUCUGAUCUUGGAAGCUAAGUAGUGUUAGCUCUACUUAGUAAUUAAGAUGGGAGACCACCAACAAACACCAGGUGCUUUAAGCU